rnacentral:rRNA from 1 species
GACGAACCGUGCGAACGUUAUUCGGAAUCACUGGGCUUAAAGCGCGUGUAGGCGGAAGGGCACGUCCGUUGCUGAAAUCCCCCGGCUCAACCGGGGAACGGGCGCGGAUACGACUCUUCUGGAGGGGCGUAGGGGGACCUGGAACUUCCGGUGGAGCGGUGAAAUGCAUUGAGAUCGGAAGGAACGCCCGUGGCGAAAGCGAGGUCCUGGACGCCUACUGACGCUGAGACGCGAAAGCCAGGGGAGCGAACGGG